rnacentral:rRNA from 2 species
GAUGAACGCUGGCGGCGUGCCUAAUACAUGCAAGUCGAACGAGUUCUGAUUAUUGAAAGGUGCUUGCAUCUUGAUUUAAUUUUGAACGAGUGGCGGACGGGUGAGUAACACGUGGGUAACCUGCCCUUAAGUGGGGGAUAACAUUUGGAAACAGAUGCUAAUACCGCAUAAAUCCAAGAACCGCAUGGUUCUUGGCUGAAAGAUGGCGUAAGCUAUCGCUUUUGGAUGGACCCGCGGCGUAUUAGCUAGUUGGUGAGGUAACGGCUCACCAAGGCAAUGAUACGUAGCCGAACUGAGAGGUUGAUCGGCCACAUUGGGACUGAGACACGGCCCAAACUCCUACGGGAGGCAGCAGUAGGGAAUCUUCCACAAUGGACGCAAGUCUGAUGGAGCAACGCCGCGUGAGUGAAGAAGGCUUUCGGGUCGUAAAACUCUGUUGUUGGAGAAGAAUGGUCGGCAGAG